AUGCUCGGCAUGUCGACUGCAGUGCAGACGGUGUGGGCGAUGGGCGUUGUUUGCCAGAGAGCGCUCCUCCUCCAGUUUGUGACGGCCGUCGCCAUCGCUUUCUUCUACUGGUACUCUGGCCCAUUCCUGCGGCUCAUUGGGCAGGCCGAGGACGUGGCUGUGGCGUACAUGGUGCUUGCUGUGCUCGUCUUCCACAUACUCAUCUCGUGGCUCGCUGUGUUCGUUCUCAGCUUUGGCCUGUUGGUCGCUGACCAUCCAAAGGUGGCGAGGUUGUCGGUCCCUUUGGUCGUCACGGCGAGCAUCGCUGAUGCGGAGCAUCCUUCGGUCAUCCUCAUGGACCUUCCGUCGCCUCGCCAAGCACCAAAAGGACCCAUGACAAGAGCACGAGCUCGAGCUCUCGAGACCGAGGUGACUUCUCUCCUUAGUAAAAUAUCAUAUGACCCUCUGAGACAUGGCUACUACCUCAAUUCGGAAUGUUGUGCAUGA
rnacentral:rRNA from 1 species